GACGAACGCUGGCGGCGUGCUUAACACAUGCAAGUCGAGCGGUAAGGCCCUUUCGGGGGUACGACGAGCGGCGAACGGGUAGAGUAACACGUGGGUGACCUGCCCUUAGCUCUGGGAUAAGCCUGGGAAACUAGGGUCUAAUACCGGAUAUGACUCCAUGACGCAUGUUGUGGGGUGGAAAGCCUUGUGCGGCUAGGGAUGGGCCUGCGGCCUAUCAGCCUGUUGGUGGGGUGAUGGCCACCAAGGCGACGACGGGUAGCCGGCCUGAGAGGGCGACCGGCCACACUGGGACUGAGACACGGCCCAGACUCCUACGGGAGGCAGCAGUGGGGAAUCUUGCGCAAUGGGCGAAAGCCUGACGCAGCGACGCCGCGUGAGGGAUGACGGCCU
rnacentral:rRNA from 1 species